rnacentral:rRNA from 1 species
GACGAACGCUGGCGGCGUGCUUAACACAUGCAAGUCGAACGGGCCUUGUCCCCUUUUUUUGGGGUGGGGUUAGUGGCGAACGGGUGAGUAACACGUGAGUAACCUGCCCCUCACUUCUGGAUAACCGCUUGAAAGGGUGGCUAAUACGGGGUGUUCUGGCCUGCUCGCAUGGGUGGGUUUGGAAAGAUUCGACCGGUUUUGGUUGUUUUGGUGGGGGAUGGGCUCGCGGCCUAUCAGCUUGUUGGUGGGGUGAUGGCCUGCCAAGGCUUUGACGGGUAGCCGGCCUGAGAGGGUGGGCGGUCACACUGGGACUGAGACACGGCCCAGACUCCUACGGGAGGCAGCAGUGGGGAAUAUUGCACAAUGGGCGCAAGCCUGAUGCAGCGACGCCGCGUGAGGGAUGGAGGCCUUCGGGUUGUGAACCUCUUUCGCCAGUGAAGAAGGUCCUGCUCUUUGUGGUGGGGUUGACGGAGCUGGGUAAUAAGCGCCG